AAGGAUUUAAGUUAAAUAAACUAUUAACCUUCAAAGUUAAAAAUAGAUUAUACUCUAAGCCUUA
rnacentral:tRNA from 1 species